CCUUACUCGGGGAUAGCCUUUCGAAAGAAAGAUUAAUACCCGAUGGCAUAGUUCUUCCGCAUGGUGGAACUAUUAAAGAAUUUCGGUCAUCGAUGGGGAUGCGUUCCAUUAGGUUGUUGGCGGGGUAACGGCCCACCAAGCCUUCGAUGGAUAGGGGUUCUGAGAGGAAGGUCCCCCACAUUGGAACUGAGACACGGUCCAAACUCCUACGGGAGGCAGCAUG
rnacentral:rRNA from 1 species